CCUACGGGGGGCAGCAGUGGGGAAUAUUGCACAAUGGGGGAAACCCUGAUGCAGCGACGCCGCGUGAAGGAAGAAGUAUUUCGGUAUGUAAACUUCUAUCAGCAGGGAAGAAAAUGACGGUACCUGACUAAGAAGCCUCGGCUAACUACGUGCCAGCAGUCGCGGUAAUACGUAGGGGGCAAGCGUUAUCCGGAUUUACUGGGUGUAAAGGGAGCGUAGGCGGUUUAGUAAGUCAGAAGUGAAAGCCCGGGGCUCAACUCCGGGACUGCUUUUGAAACUGUUGAACUAGAUUGCAGGAGAGGUAAGUGGAAUUCCUAGUGUAGCGGUGAAAUGCGUAGAUAUUAGGAGGAACACCGGUGGCGAAGGCGGCUUGCUGGACGGUAACUGACGUUGAGGCUCGAAAGCGUGGGGAGCAAACAGGAUUAGAUACCCUUGUAGUC
rnacentral:rRNA from 1 species